ACACCCCUCUUUCCCUCUCCACACUCAGAACCGACCAAAAGCUACUUCAGAAGAUACAAGUUCUUCAAAUGAGCAAACACUGAGGGAAUGUGAGUGACUUAAAAGAGCUCGGACACUGACAGUACAUUAUUGCAACUGGGUCUGAGAGACUUAACUGAUACAUUCAUUCUCACCUCAACUAUUCCCUACUUUAUUUUGUACAGAUACCAUAAAUUCCAGUGUAUAAGCCGAGAAUUAGGCCCCAAAUUUUGGUCCUAAAAUUAGGAGGUCGGCUGUUACAGAGGGUGCCAACUUUGGAAAAACGAAUACAAGGAAGACAGAGUUUGAUAUUAUAAAAAGCCCAAUUUGUGUACGUGCUGAUCACAUGAAUGGUGCAAGGAAGUUACCCAGUACAUGAAAGGAGCAGCACCACCGGUGGCCGGAGGUCUACACAUCGUCGCCAGUGGCCGGAGGUCCCUACAGCGCAUCCUGUGAUCGGAGGCGGGAGGGACAACGGAGAGGCCAAGUCUGCAGAUAAUACACACAAAAUGCUGGUGGGACACAGCAGGCCAGACAGCAUCUAUAUGGAGAAGCACGGUCGACAUUUCGGGCCGGGACCCUCCCUCUGGACUGAGAGUGGACGGGAAAUGGUCAGAGAAAAGAGAUCUGCAGCAUCAGCGGGUCACUGCUCUACAUGUACGUGUAGCUUCAUCUUUCACCCAUUCAGCCAAGGCAGUGAGAUCCGGAUCUGUCGCUUCCUCUCGUUGUGGGUGGACAAUGUUCUCUUCCUGCAAUACGUUCAGCAUGUUUCAUCCCACUGUUUCACCUGCUGAAGUGCAGCCGAUGUUUCUGGAUAUGUGACCCAUUUAUGUGAGAAUUUCGCCUUUUGAUUUAUCUGAGCUUCUCAUAAAUGUGUACAGUUCAGCUAAGCUUCACUGCAGAAUUUACAAAGCAACAACCCAGUCAGUCAAAUAGUUCCACACAAUUAAAAGUUUAUUACAUUCUUUGUACUACAUAUAUAAUUUAUCUAUUUAAUAUGAAUCAGGGUCUACUGCUGCCGCAGAGGCAACAAAUUUCAUGACAUAUGCCGGUGCUAUUAAACCUGAUUCUGAUAUUGAUAUGGGAGACCCUCCACCCGUCACGAUCCCAGUUACCGCAGAUCGUAAUGCGAGGUUGAAGCCUUUUUUAUUUAUUUGCAUUCCUCAGAAAAGGCAACUGUUAAGUUUCCUUCUGUGGUUCCAAAGCAGAAGCUCACUCUGUCUAAUGUUUCCACACAAUUAAAAUGGGGAUAUUGUUUAUUAUCAUCACGUACUGAGCUACAGUGAAAAUCUUGCCUGACGUACCAUCCACACAGAUCAAUACAUUAUGACAGUACAUUGAGUUGAUAUACGACAAGACAAUAACUGUAACAAAGCAUUAUGGCUGCAGAGAAAGUGCAGUGCAGAUAGACAUAUGGUGCAGUGUCACGUCGAGUCCAUUUUAUCAUUCAUUUGGCUUAUAGCCACAGACAGGAAGCCGACCUUGAGCCUGGUGUUACGCACUUUAAGGCUUUUGUAUAGCUUCCUUGAAGGGAGAGCAGGUUUGCAGCAAGAAUGUCCAGGUUGUGAGGAACUUUGAGUUCAUAUCCUGCUUUUCUGAGGUAGGGGGAGUGUAGGAAGAGUCAAUGGAGGGGAGGCUUGUUUCUCUGAUGUUCUCGGCUCUCCAAAGUUCUCUACAGUUCCUUGCAGUAAAGGGCAGAGCAGUAGCCAUACCAAGGCGUGAAGUGUCGACAAGAAGCUCAGAGACCACAGCCUGCCUUGUGCAGCUGGAUCCUGGUCUUCCUGUCAGAUCGCCGGCAGGUGCUAAGAGUGGCCUCCCUCACUUCUGUCUCUCUGACCCUCAGCACACAUACCCCACAGGGUUGUCUCCCUGGCCCCCUUCUUUACUCUCUGUGCACCCACGACUAGUGUCGCCACUCACAGCUCCAAUCUGCAAAUUAAACUUGUUGACGACACUACAUUGAUUGGCCUAAUCUCAAAUAAUAAUUUUCAAUCAAUCUCCUGACAAGACUUGGUCCAAACAAACUUGCCACCCUUCUUCAGGAGAUCAGUCAGCGGAAGAGCGAUACCAGCAAAGUUCUUACGGAACUUACAAUAAUAUCCAACCAUUCCCAGAAAACUUCCAAGAGCCUUGUUACCAGUUGGAAUAGAAACUUCAGAAAAUUGCCUGGACUUUUGCCUGAACAGGAACCAAUUUGCUUUGACCUACAACAUUGCCAAGAUAGGUCACAAUGGCAUAGCCAUAUUCACUCUUAGGUGAGUUAACUGUAAGGUUGGCCUGGGAAAGCCUGUCAAACAGCUUUUCUACUGCAGAGAUACGGUCAUUCCAAGUGUCUCUCCCUGUGACAACGUCAUUAGUACAAGUAUCUGUGUGUUCCAACCCUCGAAUUACAGAAUCAAUCAUUCUCUGGAAUGUUCCUAGAGCAUUUUUCAUUCCAAACGGCAAAACAUUGUAUUCGUACAACCCAGAACGUGUCACAAACACGGAAAUUUCUCUACCUCUGUCGGUCAAUGGAACACACCGAUACCCUUUCAACAGAUCAAUCUUUGUAAGAAAUUUAGCCUUUCCAGCCUUAUCAAUGUAAUCAUCCAACCUAGGGAUAGGAUAUGCAUCUGUUUUUGUUACUGUAUUUACCUUUCCAUAAUCAGUGCAAAAUCUAGCAGUGUUAUGCAUAUAUAGGUGUAAAGAUAUAUUUCACAAACUUAGCUGGUAAAUGAUGCAGUCUUACGCUGGUGUGGUAAGGAUAUUCAGUUCACGGGAUUGAAGUGAGUGAGAGAUUUUGCAUCCAAACAGGUGUUGUCGACCCUCUUCCAAUGUCCUCCAAAUCUUCCAAGUUAGCCAAACAUGACCAACUUAAGAGCACCGUCUUCAAGUAACAAUCUACCAACCCAGGCAAGGGUUUCUAGCAGAUUUCACAGGGUUGCUCUUACAUGCACUAAUAGUCACAGACUGAUUCCUCCUAACUUAUCCUCAACCCCACCCCACCCCCCCGUGGGCAUUUAAAACAUCAGUGACAACUCUUCCCACUAGCCGUUGUGUGUCUGCGUGUCCUAUGAAACAAACAGCAACACUCCUUUAAAUACCAUUGUGCUGAACACCAGCUGUCCAUCAUGCAGGCCCUCCGCUCUAUCUGUCUCUGUAACAAGCUGCUUGUUCUCGUCUCUCUCUCUCUCUUUUACAGACAUGGUUCUUAGAGGCACAGUCCAUAAUCACAGGCCUAAUAAUACCAUUGUUCAGCAUAUAUUCAAUUUCUUGCUCAGCCAAUUUACACUUUUCUACCUUUGUGCAAUAUGGGUGUUGUUUAAUCAGUUUGGCUGGACCGAAAUCUACGUCGUGUACUGCGACCGUGGUUUGCUUGGGAACAUUGGGAAAUAAACCUUUAAACUUCAGAAUUAAUUUCUUCAGCUGUUGUUGUUGUUUUGGCUGCAGAUGAGCCAACUUGUUAUCAAUGCUUUCUUGAACAACCGAGUUCAUUAGCCUAACUGGGACCACGUUUGGCGUGUGAAAUGUCUCAGAUGGGUCAAUUGUUUCAUUGUCAGGGUUGCCAGAUUCAUAUGUUUUGAUAACAACACCCACAGAUGGUGUCUGCUUGUCAAAAUAAGUCUGUAUCAUAUUUAUGUGUACCACCUGUGUUGGUUUGCAUCGGUCGGGUGUCUCAAUAACAUAAUUCACGUCAUUAACUUGAGAGACUAUUUCAUACGGUCCAUUGAGUUUCGCCUUAAGUGGAUUCAUCCACGUUGGGAAUAAA